rnacentral:tRNA from 8 species
GGGCGGAUUCCCGAGUGGUUAAAGGGAGCAGACUGUAAAUCUGCCGGCUUUGCCUUCAUAGGUUCGAAUCCUAUUCCGCCCACCA